rnacentral:rRNA from 1 species
GGAUUAGAUACCCGGGUAGUCCACGCCGUAAACGGUGGGUGUUAGGUGUGAGCGGUAUUCCACGCCGUUCGUGCCGCAGCUAACGCAUUAAGCACCCCGCCUGGGGAGUACGGCCGCAAGGCUAAAACUCAAAGGAAUUGACGGGGGCCCGCACAAGCAGCGGAGCAUGUGGCUUAAUUCGACGCAACGCGAAGAACCUUACCAAGGCUUGACAUGCGGGGAAAUCCUCCAGAGAUGGGGGGUCCCAAGGGUCCUGCACAGCUGGUGCAUGGUUGUCGGUCAGCUCGUGUCGUGAGAUGUUGGGUUAAGUCCCG